CAACCAUGAGGCGGCGACGAAAGCGGACAGGUGGAGGGCAGCUUUUCCUAUUGUUUGUGUGUUCUGCUGCCCUGAUGACACCCGAGCUGAACUCUUCUCCUGACAGGUCUCUGCUGAGCAAGCCCACUCUGACCGGUAAAGAGCGUGUGCACUGUGUGGGUCGCAUCGAUGCCGAGUUUCUGUCUUGUACAGCAGCGAGCAUUAGUCAUCCAGGUUGGUGGAUGAAGAGAACAAGUACCUCAGG